rnacentral:rRNA from 1 species
GGGUCGAUGAAGAACGCAGCCAGGUGCGUGAAUUAAUGUGAAUUGCAGGACACAUUGAACAUCGAUAUCUUGAACGCACAUUGCGGCUCCGGGUCACUCCCGGAGCCACGCCUGUCUGAGGGUCGGCAAAACAUCUAUCGCAACCUGCAUGGCACAGCAGCAUUGCGCCUUGGACCGUCUCGUCUCCCCGGCGAGCGGUCUUAAAUGAGGAAUCAGAGUCUCCAAUCGAACCAAAAACAAACCAGUACGGAACAAAUUACAAGAGACGCAGUUCGAUUAAAACACAAAAUGCGCUCUCGGUUCCGUGAAACUGUAGGUUCGCCUUUUACAUGUGAAAAAAAAGGUAUGAUGGUGUAAAUUUCUCUGGUCGACACAACACUUUGUGUUUGUCUUUUCACACUCCGACCUCAGAUCAGACGAGACUACCCGCUGAAUUUAAGCAUAUCACUAAGCGGAGGAAAAGAAACUAACAAGGAUUCCCCCAGUAACGGCGAGUGAAGCGGGAAGAGC